UAGUUGUUGUUUUAGAAGAAUUGCUGAGAAAUUAGGUGGUGAUGAUUUGUUAGUAGUUAUAAGUGAAAAAUAGAUAAGGGAAAGAUAAUAGUACUGUGUGGGAAAAUAAUAAUAAAAUAAAAAGUAGUGCUUAGUGUAUGUACCUUUUGCAUCAUGGUUUAGCAAGAUAGAAGUAUUAGAUAUAGAUGUUUCUCGAAGCCUGACGAGCGUCCUUUUUGUUAUAUUUAGUAUAAAACCUUGCUUAUGUGGCACUAUGAGGAGGAAAUAAAAAGGAAGUGUUGAAACUUUAUUCGUGUCGGGGGAUAGCUAGUUUUUUCGAAAAUACAUAUUAGUGUAUCGGCUGUAGUUAUAACUAAGCCUAUUGAGAUUUACUACGACGUAAGAUAUGGGCAUUAAGUUACUAUAUUACCGACAGGCAUUGGAGGCUAAGCUCUGAUGUUGAUAAAAUCGUACAUGUGUACUUAUACUUUAGAGGAGGGUGACUUAAAACUAGUAUACCUGUAAUCCGUAUGUUAUAAUUGACUCCCUAAUAAUUGCUUGUAGUCAAGAUAGAGUUACGUAUAUCAUAAAAAGGACGAAAAUACCUACUAAAAUAUGUGAGUGUGAAAAAAAUGCUAGGAUGAGUAUUAUUAUGUGAUCAUUUGGAUAAUUAAAUCAUUCUAUCUACAGGAAUAAUGUGUUAGUUUAGUUUAGAAAUAAUAUUUGAAUAUAUUUAGUAAAGGAAUUCGGCAAACGGAACCUCCGCCUGUAUAACAAAAACAUGGCUCUUUGUCACAGCUAUAAAGAGUCUGACCUGCUCUAUGAUUUAUUUGAUUAAAUGGCCGCGGUACCCUGACCGUGCAAAGGUAGCAUAAUCACUUGCCUUUUAAUUGGAGGCUGGUAUGAAUGGUUGGACGGGAGGUUGACUGUCUCUACUAAAUUAUGAGAAUUUAAUUUGUAGGUUCAAAAGCCUAUAUCAAAUUAAAAGACGAGAAGACCCUAGCGAGCUUAAUUCUAGCCUGUGAGGAAUACGAAUCAUUGGGAGAUUUUGGUUGGGGCGACUAAGGAAGACAGAGCAUCCUUGUAUCCUACUUAAAUGAUGGUUUUAGAUCCAAGUUAUAUUGAGUGACAGGUGAGCUACCGUAGGGAUAACAGCGUAAUCUUUUUAGAGAGUUCAAAUCGAAAAAAGGGUUUGCGACCUCGAUGUUGGACUAGGGUAUCCUGAGGGUGCAGAAGCUCUUAAGGGUUGGUCUGUUCGACCAUUAAUACCCUACAUGAUCUGAGUUCAGACCGGCGUGAGCCAGGUCAGUUUCUAUCUUUAAUUAAGUACUUACGACUAGUACGAAAGGACCGACGUAAGUGAACUUUUC
rnacentral:rRNA from 1 species